CCCUUAGAUGUUCUGGGCCGCACGCGUGCUACACUGAGUAAAUCAAUGGGUAAGGGAACACGAAAGUGCAACCUAAUCUUGAAAUUUGCUCGUGAUGGGGAUCGACGGUUGCAAUUUUCCGUCGUGAACGAGGAAUACCUUGUAGGCGCGUGUCAUCAUCACGCGCCGAAUACGUCCCUGCCCUUUGUACACACCGCCCGUCGCUCCUACCGAUUGAGUGAUCCGGUGAGGCUCUGGGACCUGGACGGAAAGAGCGUUUCGCUUGUUCUGUUUGGGAAACUUGGUCGAACCUUAUCAUUUAGAGGAAGGAGAAGCCGUAACA
rnacentral:rRNA from 1 species